rnacentral:rRNA from 1 species
GCUGCAGAAGAAGCACCGGCUAACUCCGUGCCAGCAGCCGCGGUAAUACGGAGGGUGCGAGCGUUAAUCGGAAUUACUGGGGCGUAAAAGCGCAUGCAGGUGGUUUGUUAAGUCAGAUGUGAAAGCCCGGGGCUCAACCUCGGAAUUGCAUUUGAAACUGGCAAACUAGAGUACUGUAGAGGGGGUAGGAAUUUCAGGUGUAGCGGUGAAAUAGCGUAGAGAUCUGAAGGAAUACCGGUGGCGAAGGCGGCCCCCUGGACCAGAUAACUGACACUCAGAUGCGAAAGACGUGGGGAGGCAAACAGGAUUAGAUACCCUCGGUAG